CAAGCGAACAAGUGCAUGUGGUGGAUGCCUUGGCGAUCACAGGCGAUGAAGGACGCGGUAGCCUGCGAAAAGCCCCGGGGAGCUGGCAAACAAGCUUUGAUCCGGGGAUGUCCGAAUGGGGAAACCCACUCCGUAUGGAGUAUCCAUGACUGAAUACAUAGGUCAUGUGAAGCGAACGCGGUGAACUGAAACAUCUAAGUAACCGCAGGAAAAGAAAUCAACCGAGAUUCCCAAAGUAGUGGCGAGCGAAAUGGGAUGAGCCUUGUACUCUUUAUUCGUAUUGUUAGCCGAACGCUCUGGAAAGUGCGGCCAUAGCAGGUGAUAGCCCUGUAGGCGAAAACAGUAUGAAAGAACUAGGUGUACGACAAGUAGGGCGGGACACGUGAAAUCCUGUCUGAAGAUGGGGGGACCAUCCUCCAAGGCUAAAUACUCGUGAUCGACCGAUAGUGAACCAGUACCGUGAGGGAAAGGCGAAAAGAACCCCGGGAGGGGAGUGAAAUAGAUCCUGAAACCGCAUGCAUACAAACAGUCGGAGCCUCGUAAGGGGUGACGGCGUACCUUUUGUAUAAUGGGUCAGCGACUUACGUUCAGUAGCAAGCUUAACCGUAUAGGGCAGGCGUAGCGAAAGCGAGUCCGAAUAGGGCGUUCAGUUGCUGGGCGUAGACCCGAAACCAGGUGAUCUAUCCAUGGCCAGGAUGAAGGUGCGGUAACACGUACUGGAGGUCCGAACCCACUAACGUUGAAAAGUUAGGGGAUGAGCUGUGGAUAGGGGUGAAAGGCUAAACAAACCUGGAAAUAGCUGGUUCUCUCCGAAAACUAUUUAGGUAGUGCCUCGUGUCUCACCUUCGGGGGUAGAGCACUGUCAUGGUUGGGGGGUCUAUUGCAGAUUACCCCGCCAUAGCAAACUCCGAAUACCGAAGAGUGCAAUCACGGGAGACAGACAUCGGGUGCUAACGUCCGGUGUCAAGAGGGAAACAACCCAGACCGCCAGCUAAGGUCCCCAAAUAUGGCUAAGUGGGAAACGAAGUGGGAAGGCUAAAACAGUCAGGAGGUUGGCUUAGAAGCAGCCACCCUUUAAAGAAAGCGUAAUAGCUCACUGAUCGAGUCGUCCUGCGCGGAAGAUGUAACGGGGCUAAGCCAUAUACCGAAGCUGCGGAUGCGAGCUUGCUCGCAUGGUAGGAGAGCGUUCCGUAAGCCUGCGAAGGUGUCUUGUAAAGGAUGCUGGAGGUAUCGGAAGUGCGAAUGCUGACAUGAGUAGCGAUAAAGGGGGUGAAAGGCCCCCUCGCCGUAAGCCCAAGGUUUCCUACGCAACGUUCAUCGGCGUAGGGUGAGUCGGCCCCUAAGGCGAGGCAGAAAUGCGUAGCUGAUGGGAAGCAGGUCAAUAUUCCUGCACCGUCGUUAGAUGCGAUGGGGGGACGGAUCGCGGAAGGUUGUCCGGGUGUUGGACGUCCCGGUCGCUGCAUUGGAGAAGGCGCUUAGGCAAAUCCGGGCGCAGGAUUCAAGGGUGUGGCGCGAGCGACUUCGGUCGCGAAGCAAUUGGAAGUGGUUCCAAGAAAAGCCUCUAAGCUUCAGUCUAACGAUGACCGUACCGCAAACCGACACAGGUGGGCGAGAUGAGUAUUCUAAGGCGCUUGAGAGAACUCGGGAGAAGGAACUCGGCAAAUUGGUACCGUAACUUCGGGAUAAGGUACGCCCUUGUAGCUUGACCAGCCUGCGCUGGAAGGGUGAAGGGGUUGCAAUAAACUGGUGGCUGCGACUGUUUAAUAAAAACACAGCACUCUGCAAACACGAAAGUGGACGUAUAGGGUGUGACGCCUGCCCGGUGCCGGAAGAUUAAAUGAUGGGGUGCAAGCUCUUGAUUGAAGUCCCGGUAAACGGCGGCCGUAACUAUAACGGUCCUAAGGUAGCGAAAUUCCUUGUCGGGUAAGUUCCGACCUGCACGAAUGGCGUAACGAUGGCCACACUGUCUCCUCCCGAGACUCAGCGAAGUUGAAGUGUUUGUGAUGAUGCAAUCUACCCGCGGCUAGACGGAAAGACCCCAUGAACCUUUACUGUAGCUUUGCAUUGGACUUUGAACCGAUCUGUGUAGGAUAGGUGGGAGGCUAUGAAACCGGAACGCUAGUUUCGGUGGAGCCGUCCUUGAAAUACCACCCUGGUUUGUUUGAGGUUCUAACCUUGGUCCGUGAUCCGGAUCGGGGACAGUGCAUGGUAGGCAGUUUGACUGGGGCGGUCUCCUCCCAAAGGGUAACGGAGGAGUACGAAGGUACGCUAGGUACGGUCGGAAAUCGUGCUGAUAGUGCAAUGGCAUAAGCGUGCUUAACUGCGAGACCGACAAGUCGAGCAGGUGCGAAAGCAGGUCAUAGUGAUCCGGUGGUUCUGUAUGGAAGGGCCAUCGCUCAACGGAUAAAAGGUACUCUGGGGAUAACAGGCUGAUACCGCCCAAGAGUUCAUAUCGACGGCGGUGUUUGGCACCUCGAUGUCGGCUCAUCUCAUCCUGGGGCUGUAGCCGGUCCCAAGGGUAUGGCUGUUCGCCAUUUAAAGAGGUACGUGAGCUGGGUUUAAAACGUCGUGAGACAGUUUGGUCCCUAUCUGCCGUGGGCGUUGGAUAUUUGAAGGGGGCUGCUCCUAGUACGAGAGGACCGGAGUGGACGAACCUCUGGUGUACCGGUUGUGACGCCAGUCGCAUCGCCGGGUAGCUAUGUUCGGAAGAGAUAACCGCUGAAAGCAUCUAAGCGGGAAACUCGCCUUAAGAUGAGAUAUCCCUGGAGGCUUGACCUCCUUGAAGGGUCGUUCGAGACCAGGACGUUGAUAGGUCGGGUGUGUAAGCGCAGUAAUGCGUUCAGCUAACCGAUACUAAUUGCCCGUAAGGCUUGAUCC
rnacentral:rRNA from 1 species